GCUGAUUGGGAUGAUGUGUGUCCUCAGAAGUAAUGACAGGAGGAGAGAACCGUGCUCUUCUUGUCCCGAGCCCCACACCCCUGUCACAGACAGGAGGAGGAUGCUUCAAAGCUGCCACUGGAGACGGAGACAGCACAUGGUUGUUGUGGAAAAGUCUCUUUCAGGCAACACCUCUCCAUCAUCCACACCAGCCUGGCCUCACCAUCCCUGCUGCCGUACCCUCCCAGGUCUCCACUACCACUGGACCGCACGACUGGAGCAGCUUCCUAACCAGGGGGCCAGCCUGAGGCUGUUCCCCCAAAUUAUUUCCAUCUUUCCAACCACCUUUCUAAAGCAUUCCUUAGCUUAUACACAGGUAGAUAUUAACUGGAAGAUAAAAUCCAACUUAUUCAGCGUGAUGUUCCAAUCUCUUGACAGUCUUCCAACUGGAUCAAGGACCCAUUCAUUUUUGUCUCCUGAUGUCUGUCUUCCCUACCAGGCUUCAGGUAACAUUUAAGUAACUAUGCUUGUGAUUGCUUAAAAAUACAUUCAGGCCAGGCACGGUGGCUCAUGCCUGUAAUCCCAGCACUCUGGGAGGCUGAGACAGGCAGAUCACUUGAGGUCAGGAGUUCGAGACCAGCCUGGCCAACAUAGUAAAACCCUGAAAAAUACAAAAAUCAGCCCGGCAUGAUGGCGUCCACCUGUAGUCCCAGCUACUCGGGAGGCUGAGGCAGGAGAAUCACUUGAUCCUGGGAGGCGGAGGUUGCAGUGAGCUGAGAUGGUGUCACUGCACUCCAGCCUGGGGGACAGAACAAGACUCCAUCUCAAAAAAAAAAAAAAAAAGCUCAUGUUAUAAAAUCAUCUUCCCUACUAAAGAGCUCUUAUGCAAACAUGGGAUUUUACUGUAAGUCAGAGGUAAUUGCAUAAAGUAAUGAAGAAAUCAAAAUUUACAUUCAAAUGACACACUAAUGAUAAGUCGUUUUUGGCUAUUCCUUAAUUCAGAAGGCUUCUCACCCUAUCCCCCUCUGAAACAUAACCUGUUUCAGGCCUCCUGCAGAUGCUUGUGGCCAAAACCACCUUAUUUACUUUUGUGGUGGCUGUUCUUGCUGGGGCUUCAUAAAUGUUGGUUGAAUCGAAAUAAAAUGAUGGUCCUUUCAUUUCUUUACUCAGAAAUAUUUACUUAUUACGUGGACCACAGAAUUCGGGACAGUUAUUGUGAGUAGUUCCUGAUUCUCUUUGUGUCUCAAGCACUUACAUAGAAACUACUAUUUUUCAAAUACGUGUGUAGUUAUUACAUACAAAUAAUACAUUAGAAAUUCAUUUUUAACAUUCAUAAAAUUCAGUAGAAUAUGAUCAUUGGAUAGUUUCACAAUCAAUGAAUUCUAAAGGCAAUGUAAACUUAUGAUCACAAUGGUUAUUAGGAUUUCCAUUUAUG
rnacentral:lncRNA from 10 species